CCUACGGGAGGCAGCAGUGAGGAAUAUUGGUCAAUGGGCGGAAGCCUGAACCAGCCAAGUCGCGUGAGGGAAUAAGGCCCUACGGGUCGUAAACCUCUUUUGCCGGGGAGCAAGGGCCGGGACGCGUCCCGGCCCGGAGAGUACCCGGAGAAAAAGCAUCGGCUAACUCCGUGACAGCAGCCGCGGUAAUAAGGAGGAUGCGAGCGGUAUACGGAUGUAUUGGGUUUAAAGGGUGCGUAGGCGGGGUUGUAAGUCUGCGGUAAAAAUUCGGGGCUCAACCCCGUCCGGCCGUUGAAACUGGGGGCCUUGAGUGGGCGAGAAGCAGGCGGAAUGCGUGGUGUAGCGGUGAAAUGCAUAGAUAUCACGCAGAACCCCGAUUGCGAAGGCAGCCUUCCGGCGCCCUACUGACGCUGAGGCACGAAAGUGCGGGGAUCGAACAGGAUUAGAUACCCCAGUAGUC
rnacentral:rRNA from 1 species